GUUUCCCUGAGCUAUCUCAAGUGCAGAGGGCCUGGGAGGGGCCCUGGCUGGGGCCUGAUCCUGAGCAAACGAUUCCCGCCCCCUCCAGGGUGUGCUCUCUUCAAGGACCAAACACUGAGCCUCCCUCUGGGAACAGCGGGACUGACAUCACAACCCCAGGACGCGGACCCUGGUAAAGUACAGGAUGAGGACGCUGAUAGGUCGUCUUCCCAGGAGGUGGCUUUUCCCCAAACAUGGGACCGAUAAGCCCUUCCCAGAAGAUGGAAGACAACUUCAGAUGCAGAACUCAUGCCUCCAUUCAAACUAAUGAGACUGCUGAGCCCCUGCUGGGUCCACUGUGGGCUCAGCACAGAACCCCAGAGAAUUCUCUCAUUGGGAAGGAGGCCACCACCGAGGAGAGAGAGAAGCGAAGGCACAAAGAAGCAACUCACUCGAGGGCAUGAGGUUGUCAGCAAUGAAGAUGGUGCCAUUAGCUGCUAACCCAACGCUGGCUCUCGGACCUCCUACUGAACUACACGUCUCCGUGGGGAACCCACCCACCAACAGGGUCUCAAUUCAAAGACACACUCACACUGCCGCUCCUCUAUCUUCAACUCCGCCACUCUCUGCAAACGGAAGGCCAUAG